rnacentral:rRNA from 1 species
UGGGGAAUCUUGCACAAUGGACGAAAGUCUGAUGCAGCAACGCCGCGUGAGUGAAGAAGGCCCUUGGGUUGUAAAGCUCUUUCGGUCGGGAAGAAGGGGAAACGUGCUAAUACCACGGAGCCUUGACGGUACCGGCAUAAGAAGCACCGGCUAAUCUCGUGCCAGCAGCCGCGGUAAUACGAGAGGUGCAAGCGUUGUUCGGAAUGACUGGGCGUAAAGCGCACGUAGGCGGGCACGUAAGUCAGAUGUGAAAUCCCUGGGCUUAACCUGGGAACUGCAUCUGAAACUGCAUGUCUUGAAUGUCUCAGAGGUUGGUGGAAUUCCAGGUGUAGGAGUGAAAUCCGUAGAUAUCUGGAGGAACAUCGGAGGCGAAGGCGGCCAACUGGGAGUACAUUGACGCUGAGGUGCGAAAGCGUGGGGAGCAAACAG